rnacentral:lncRNA from 1 species
GAGACUUGGUGUGUGCAAAGGAAGUGCAAAGGAGCACCUAAAUGGACACCAAAACCGUCCAUACAUAGCACUCCAAGGGUGCCUAUUGAAGCAUUUGACUAAGGGGUCAUUUUGGACAUUUCACACUUUAUUUUGUAACCUACUAUAAAUAGAAUAAUGUAGGGUUUUAGUCAUUAGUUUUGAUUGAAUAUUGAAAGUUGUAACAUUGAAACACCCUCUCUUGAGAGAAUGGCCUCUUGGCCGAAACAUAGUAAUUAGGGAAAUCAACUUGAGUGCAAAAUCACUCGUGUUGGAUUCAAGCUUGGAAACGUUAGAUGCUUG